rnacentral:rRNA from 1 species
GGAUGAACGCUGGCGGCGUGCCUAAUACAUGCAAGUCGAGCGAACUGAUUAGAAGCUUGCUUCUAUGACGUUAGCGGCGGACGGGUGAGUAACACGUGGGCAACCUGCCUGUAAGACUGGGAUAACUUCGGGAAACCGAAGCUAAUACCGGAUAGGAUCUUCUCCUUCAUGGGAGAUGAUUGAAAGAUGGUUUCGGCUAUCACUUACAGAUGGGCCCGCGGUGCAUUAGCUAGUUGGUGAGGUAACGGCUCACCAAGGCAACGAUGCAUAGCCGACCUGAGAGGGUGAUCGGCCACACUGGGACUGAGACACGGCCCAGACUCCUACGGGAGGCAGCAGUAGGGAAUCUUCCGCAAUGGACGAAAGUCUGACGGAGCAACGCCGCGUGAGUGAUGAAGGCUUUCGGGUCGUAAAACUCUGUUGUUAGGGAAGAACAAGU